GACGAACGCUGGCGGCGUGCUUAACACAUGCAAGUCGAGCGGUAAGGCUCCUUCGGGAGUACACGAGCGGCGAACGGGUGAGUAACACGUGAGCAAUCUGCCCUUCACACUGGGAUAACCCCCGGAAACGGGAGCUAAUACCAGAUACGACCACUUCGGGCAUCCGAUGGUGGUGGAAAGUUCCGGCGGUGAAGGAUGAGCUCGCGGCCUAUCAGCUUGUUGGUGAGGUAAUGGCUCACCAAGGCUUCGACGGGUAGCCGGCCUGAGAGGGUGACCGGCCACACUGGGACUGAGACACGGCCCAGACUCCUACGGGAGGCAGCAGUGGGGAAUAUUGGACAAUGGGCGAAAGCCUGAUCCAGCAACGCCGCGUGAGGGAUGACGGCCUUCGGGUUGUAAACCUCUUUCAGCAGGGACGAAGCGAAAGUGACGGUACCUGCAGAAGAAGGACCGGCCAACUACGUGCCAGCCGCCGCGGUAAAAC
rnacentral:rRNA from 1 species